rnacentral:rRNA from 1 species
UACGUAAGUGGCGAGCGUUAUCCGGAAUUACUGGGCGUAAAGCGUGCGUAGGCGGUUUAGUGUGUGGGAAUUGAAAGCCCGGGGCUCAACUCCGGACCCGGUUCCCAAACUGCUAGACUUGAGCGUAUCAGAGGACAGCGGAAUUCCCGGUGUAGCGGUAAUAUGCGUAGAUAUCGGGAGGAACACCAGUGGCGAAGGCGGCUGUCUGGGGUAUUGCUGACGCUGAGGCACGAAAGCCAGGGGGAGACGGAACGGGAACUUAGAAAGCCCCACGUGA